GAUUCUACAGGUCAGAGACGUGUUUUGUCUGAUUCUACAGGUCAGAGACGUGUUUUGUCUGAUUCUACAGGUCAGAGACGUGUUUUGUCUGAUUCUACAGGUCAGAGACGUGUUUUGUCUGAUUCUACAGGUCAGAGACGUGUUGUGUUAGCUGUCUGGUUCUACAGGUCAGAGAGACGUGUUGUGUUAGCUGUCUGAUUCUACAGGUCAGAGACGUGUUUUGUCUGCUGUCUGGUUCUAUAGGUCAGAGACGUGUUGUGUUAGCUGUCUGAUUCUACAGGUCAGAGAAGUGUUUUGUCUGCUGUCUGGUUCUAUAGGUCAGAGACGUGUUGUGUUAGCUGUCUGAUUCUACAGGUCAGAGAGACGUGUUUUGUCUGAUUCUACAGGUCAGAGACGUGUUUUGUCUGAUUCUGCAGGUCAGAGAGACGUGUUUUGUCUGAUUCUACAGGUCAGAGACGUGUUUUGUCUGAUUCUACAGGUCAGAGACGUGUUUUGUCUGAUUUUACAGGUCAGAGACGUGUUUUGUUCGCUGUCUGAUUCUACAGGUCAGAGACGUGUUGUGUUAGCUGUCUGAUUCUACAGGUCAGAGAGACGUGUUGUGUUAGCUGUCUGAUUCUGCAGGUCAGAGAGACGUGUUUUGUCUGAUUCUACAGGUCAGAGACGUGUUUUGUCUGAUUCUACAGGUCAGAGACGUGUUUUGUCUGAUUCUACAGGUCAGAGAGACGUGUUUUGUCUGAUUCUACAGGUCAGAGAGACGUGUUUUGUUAGCAGAUUUUGAAGACCUCCUUGCUCACCUCCAAUUUACUCAUGUCAAAAAAUUGUAACGAUAACUCUUCUAUAUACAGGAAGUACCAUUACUGAGUCUAUAUACAGG
rnacentral:lncRNA from 1 species